rnacentral:rRNA from 1 species
CGCAAGUCCGCGGGUCAACCGUGAACGAGCCGAGCGUCACGCUACGUCGGGUCAUGAGAAGGUAUCAAAUCCUGAAUUCAUAGGGGUUUGAAGCGAACCCGGGGAACUGAAACAUCUCAGUACCCGGAGGAAAGGACAUCAACGAGACUCCGUUAGUAGUGGCGAGCGAACGCGGACCAGGCCAGUGCUUGUGUUGAGAUUACCGGAACGGUCUGGAAAGGC